rnacentral:rRNA from 1 species
ACUCAAAUGAAUUGACGGGGGCCCGCACAAGCAGCGGAGCGUGUGGUUUAAUUCGAUGAUACGCGAAAAACCUCACCCAGGUUUGACAUGCAUGUGGUACAGAGGUGAAAGCCGACGGACCCCUCGGGGAGCAUGCACAGGUGUUGCACGGCCGUCGUCAGCUCGUGCCGUGAGGUGUUGGGUUAAGUCCCGCAACGAGCGCAACCCCUAUUGCCAGUUGUAUUUUUCUGGCGAGACUGCCGAGAAAUCCUCGGAGGAAGGAGGGGACGAUGUCAGGUCAGCGUGGCCCUUACGCCUGGGGCUACACACACGCUACAAUGGGUGGUACAGAGGGUCGCCAAGGCGCGAGCCGGAGCUAAUCCCAUCAAAGCCAUCCUCAGUUCGGAUUGCAGGCUGAAACCCGCCUGCAUGAAGCCGGAGUUGCUAGUAACCGCAGGUCAGCAUUACUGCGGUGAAUACGUUCCCGGGCCUUGUACACACCGCCCGU